rnacentral:misc_RNA from 1 species
GAAAGAGGCUUUUGGCCAUAUCUUCAACAACCCUUUCAGCAAUUGGAACAAAUUUACCGUAGCCGUUAUCUUCUCGGUGCAGAGUAGUAAUGAAGGACUUUAAGGAAAUAAGCAAACAAGCAAGCCAAACAAACAAAAGACUAUAUGAUACGAGAGGGAAAUGGUAGAGUGAUGUUAGCAGGUUUCAGAUCCUUUCUUCUUCCUCUUCUUUCUCUAUUUCUAAGCAUAUCAAACUUCCUUAUGUAGCCAAUGGCCAUUCUGUUCCAAUGAUUUGGACAUGUGGUGUCAUGGAAUGAAAACAUUCUUUGACACAAAAUUUUCAUGAUUACAGUAUUUUCUCAUACUAACAAACUAGCUGAGUUGUCUUCUUGUGGUCCCUUGUGUCAACCACUGGCUUUAUACUGAUUUUCCUAUUGACGGAUCAUGUUGUCAGCUCUCCUGCCACAAUCGGUUAUUGGGUUAAUUUUGAGUUUAAACUUGCUUUCAUUACCAAAUAUCAACCAACCAACCAAUCAAACGUUUGGAUUUAUUUAGAAUUCAUUUCAUUUCCAUAUGAAUAUUCACAAUUCAUUUACAAAUAAAUUUCCAUGUCUUGUAUGCUAUAUGUUUUAACCUAAGAAAUUCAUUUGAAUGAGAAAACUGUCGAAGUUUGCAAUUUAGGCUUUGGCUUUUAGGCCAUUAAAGUUUUAUGUUAU